AUUAUACUCCCUCCGUUUGGAAUUACUUGUCGAAGCAAUGAAUGUAUCUAGAUGUAUUUUAGUUCUAGAUACAUCCACUUUCGAGACAAGUAAUUCCGAACGGAGGGAGUAUUUA
rnacentral:pre_miRNA from 1 species